UGGGGAAUAUUGGACAAUGGGCGCAAGCCUGAUCCAGCCAUACCGCGUGGGUGAAGAAGGCCUUCGGGUUGUAAAGCCCUUUUGUUGGGAAAGAAAUCCAGCCGGCUAAUACCUGGUUGGGAUGACGGUACCCAAAGAAUAAGCACCGGCUAACUUCGUGCCAGCAGCCGCGGUAAUACGAAGGGUGCAAGCGUUACUCGGAAUUACUGGGCGUAAAGCGUGCGUAGGUGGUCAUUUAAGUCCGUUGUGAAAGCCCUGGGCUCAACCUGGGAACUGCAGUGGAUACUGGAUGACUAGAAUGUGGUAGAGGGUAGCGGAAUUCCUGGUGUAGCAGUGAAAUGCGUAGAGAUCAGGAGGAACAUCCAUGGCGAAGGCAGCUACCUGGACCAACAUUGACACUGAGGCACGAAAGCGUGGGGAGCAAACA
rnacentral:rRNA from 1 species